GAUUUUUAGGCCGUUGAUUUCCCUUUCAAUUUCACAUGCCUUUCAAAUAAGACCUUCAUUUAUUAAAGAUAACGAUGUGUGAACUACAUGGGAUGUAUUUUGACCGGACUUAGACGAGUCAGAGGUAGUUUCCUAUGAAAAUUCAAGGGCACACGAGACAGAGUCAGUUAAUCCAACACAGAAGAAAGAUGGUG